UUAGGAUUAGAGUGAAAUAUGAUAGGCUCUCUCUCCUACAGGCAUGGCCACAAAGGCAGCAAACUCCUCCUUUCCACAGCCAAGAGCUCAACAGCAAUGAAAACUUCUGAACUCUGCACACACAAAUAGGAACACUCAAGUGCAACUCUGCAGACUCAGUUUCUUGUUGGGACUAGGACUGGGAGUGCAGAUAUAAUGCCAGAAAAGUGGUCUGCCCUCAGUCUAGACUUGAGCGGACAAAGCAGACAAUCUAUACAACCUCUGAAGAGUCAUGGGAGAACCUGCCGACCAUCUGCCAAAAAAGUGAGACUAAGGACGGAUUGAACCUCACAUAUGAAGAGCUGUUCCAGUCUCCACUUUUUAUGUGAGCAUUUAAUUUAGCACUGGUGACAGCUCUGGAGAAUGAAGCCACUGAACAAGCGUACUGCACCUCCGAGCACGCCUCAGCACUGAAUGGGUUUUCCCUAGACGUGAGAUUAAAGUUCAGGCUUCAAGUUCAUGUACUCCUUGGUUUCUCUGAAGAGAUGGUCAAUUAGUUAUCACUUAGUACACAAUACAGAAUACUUUGCACUUCUGCAGAGCAUUUCAUCUGAGGACUUUCAUCUACAACAAGCAAAGGCUAAGGGGCAAAUUCUGCACUACACUUCCUGGGAGCUGCAGCACACAAGGCACAGCCCCGUGGGAAAUGGGGGCAAAACUUUGUGCCUCCCAGAUUCUGGGCUGCUCUGGGGGCUAAUGUGAGCCUCAUAAAUUGAAGUAGCCUUGGGGGCUGCUUUAAGUAGCAGCAGACUGCAGGGCUGUCAGCAGGCUGCAUUGCAGCCCACAGUCCCGGUUGCACCCCCAGGUCCAUGCCCAGUCCAGGGACAACAACUGCAGCAGUGGAAUUCUCUCCUGGCCACUUGCAGUGCGUUAAGACAGAGGAGCAGGAGUCUAAACCUGUCCCUGAAUCUGGAUUAAAGUAGCUAUUUUAACAAACGCAUCGGUAGCCUAAGUGCUUAAAGAGGGGAAAACAUUAUUUGGGGAGAAAACUGGUUCUAUUACAUUAACAGCAUCUCAUUGUUACCAUUCCUGAUGUCCAAUUUGUGUCCAUUUAUUCUUUUACAUGGGGACUGUCCGGUUUGGUGGGAAAAGGUGAGGGUGGACACAAGCUGUACCACUUCUUCAGAGCCUGAAGAAGAAGAGUUUACACAAAUCAGACAUCAGGAAUGGUAACAUAUACAAAAGCCAGUAGGAGAACACUUCAAUCUCCCUGGACAUUCUAUUACAGAUUUAAAAGUAGCCAUUCUUCAACAACAAAAAC